UAUUGAAGAAAUAUGGUUGUGUUCCUAAUCUCUGGGAGAGAGCCUGACAACACUGAUCUACAUCUUCAAGCACCUAUCAAAACACACAAGAGAUAAGAUAAUCAUAUUGUCAAGAAAGACCAACAUUAAAAAAAAAUAACCUUCUUACUGUAUUUGUGCUGACAGAGGGAACAAAGAAUACACAACGUUGGAACAUCAAAAGCUGCUAAAGAAUGAAAAUGUGGUAAAGAAAGGAAACUGGGAAAAUGGCAGAUGCCAGCAAGUGUGGACAUGGGUUGUGGAUGGCAAAGAAGAGAGGGCAUGCAGCUGCCACCAGUCACACUCUUGCACAUCUAAGAAGCUCCUCUGUGUAGAUGUUCAGCAUUCUAAAGCUAUCUUUAUUUACAAAAGGAAAGAAACUGCACCAGAGAAGAGGGGGAAGGCAUCCCAGACACGUAGCAUGGACCGACUUAUCAGCAAGACAAGGCUCAGUUGCCAUGACAUCAAACUGGAGGUGUAAUGUAGUAAGCUAAAUGAAGGCCGCACUUACCAGAUGGGGACAUGUACUCAGCAUUUGCCCUGCAAACCACCCGGACCGGCAGGUUGCACAUUUGCAAAAAGG